UACGUAGGGUGCAAGCGUUGUCCGGAAUUAUUGGGCGUAAAGAGCUCGUAGGCGGUCUGUCGCGUCGGCUGUGAAACCCCGAGGCUCAACCUCGGGCCUGCAGUCGAUACGGGCAGACUAGAGUAUGGCAGGGGAGACUGGAAUUCCUGGUGUAGCGGUGAAAUGCGCAGAUAUCAGGAGGAACACCGGUGGCGAAGGCGGAUCUCUGGGCCUUACCUGACGCUCGAGGCGCGAAAGCCUAGGGGAGCGAACAGG
rnacentral:rRNA from 1 species